GAGUAACACGUGAGCAACCUGCCCCUGACUCUGGGAUAAGCCUUGGAAACGAGGUCUAAUACCGGAUAUGACGCUCCUACGCAUGUGGGGGUGUGGAAAGAAUUUCGGUCGGGGAUGGGCUCGCGGCCUAUCAGCUUGUUGGUGGGGUGAUGGCCUACCAAGGCGACGACGGGUAGCCGGCCUGAGAGGGCGACCGGCCACACUGGGACUGAGACACGGCCCAGACUCCUACGGGAGGCAGCAGUGGGGAAUAUUGCACAAUGGGCGCAAGCCUGAUGCAGCGACGCCGCGUGAGGGAUGACGGCCUUCGGGUUGUAAACCUCUUUCAGCAGGGAAGAAGCGAAAGUGACGGUACCUGCAGAAGAAGCGCCGGCUAACUACGUGCCAGCAGCCGCGGUGAUACGUAGGGCGCAAGCGUUGUCCGGAAUUAUUGGGCGUAAAGAGCUCGUAGGCGGUCAGUCGCGUCUGCUGUGAAAACUCGAGGCUCAACCUCGGGCUUGCAGUGGGUACGG
rnacentral:rRNA from 1 species